UCGUUUUAUCGCCAUCGUGAACUUUUCCACGUAGAUAAUACCGUAGAACAGGUAGAAACUUUCCGCAUUUGGUCGUCGGUUAUCGAGCGAAAUGUUUUCACCAGCUACGCUCUUGUUUUUCCUCUCAUCUGUUGUUCUUUGUCUAACAGCAGAAUCCACGGAAACUACAACGAAGAACACAGUUGUCACGUUAUCAGACUCGGAGAUUCUUCUAACAGUAACGGCUUGUACGACUGCGCCCGUAUUAGUCGUUCUUCUUCCAAUGCUCAUUUACUACAAAUUUUGUAAAAGCGACUUGCUAAAUCAAGUCGUAUAGAGAUGAGCAUUGACCAACAGCACGGGGACGACACGACCAUCGUAAUGUAAGAUGUUAUAAAAUGUCUAAAUGCGUAAAUACGUAAUGUUAUGGAAAAUGUAAAAUGAUGUAAAAUACAGAUCUCAAUUUUCAUAAAA